ensembl:lincRNA
UAAAUAUCUCAGGAUUUUAGUUUGGAAACUAAUGUGCUUUUGCUUUAAUUUUGCUUUAAUUGGCAAAGAAACUAACAGCUAAUUCAGACUCUUAAAAUAUUGUUGUACACAAUAUGUCCAUUCAAUAAGAUAAAUUCAAGCAUAUUAUGAUAAAGGACUAGAGAAAAUAGAAGGAGAUUUAUGGGUAAUACAUAAGUCAGAGUUUUUAGACACAGAUAGUAAAAUAAUUGUGAUUUAUAUAUUUAGAAUCAUGGAGGUCAUGGUGAGGAACUUCACCAAAAAACUGGUAUCUAUGAUCAUCAAACAGACACUCUAGAACUGAAAAAUUCAUGUACUGUCUGAGAUUGAUAUGAACUUGGUAACUCUCUUUGAAUUCCUUCUAUAUCAAAUCUUAAUCUUAGGUCAAGAUCAUCAUUCAGGAAAUGCCCUGGACAUCUCACUUCUUAGAUUCUUAAAGUUAGUAAUAAUACCUGUUUUCAGAGUUUGUGUGGAAAACUGAACACUCUCAAUAGUGGUAGGGCUACAAUUUAGGGUAAGACUUCUAAAGGAUAUUCUAAACAUUAAUUAAAAACAUAAUAUGAGACUGAAUAAUGUAGAAAUUGAUGGGAUGGGUUCGGAGCAAAACUGCUUGGGUUUGAAUCAUGGCAUGUCAGCUUACACAUUUGGUAAACUUGAGCAAGUUAUGUCUCCUCUCAUUGCAGAAUCUCCUGUGGUCCAGAAUUUCUCAGAAGUUUGGUUCUCCUGUCAAAAGAUAAACUGUUGGAAUCAAGUCUUUUAUCUAGCUGGACCUAUGUCAAAAGUAAAGAUCAGGAGGAGCUGUGGAGAUCUGCUUGAAUCAAGACUCUAUACUCUGAAAGGCAGUAUCCAUUCCUCACCAAAGAGGGAGGCAAGUGGCACUUGUGGAACUCCUGCCAAGUUAGGUUACUCUAUCUGAGAUCCAUCUGACUUUUCUUAAUGGUAGGUAGCAAAAUUGAGCUUCUAAUUCAACAUAAAUUUCUCCGAGGUAGGAACUGGAAAAGACGUGCUAUAGUGUCUAGCUAUUUAUGAUGAUCAGAUGUGAUAGGUUCAGGUCAGCCUGAAUAUAUUUCUAUUUCACCUCUCAUAGAUUAUUUUUGCUCAGUGCAUUACUGAAAGUUGAGACACUAACAGCCCUUGAAUUAAAAUAGACCUAACAAUGUCCAGGCUUAGAGAGAAAAUAAAAGCCCUGCAGUUUCAAGAUGGGUUGCACAUCUUUACAUAGAAUAAGUGGUUCAUAACAGAUAUAACUGAGAAAUAUAAUUUUUGUUGCUGGAGGAUUUCAGGUGACAGACUGACUUUUUAUUAUUUGUAUUUAUCACAGGCAAUUGAACUUGGUGAGUUAGGAAAUUAAGCUAAGGGGGAAAAAUUAGUUCCAAGUAAAGCUUAGGAAGCAAUUUCCACCCAUGAAGUAAUUAAGAAGUGAAAUGAGUUUCUGUAUUAGCUCUUGACACAGAGUCAUUUUAAUGAGAAACCCUCUUGGGAAAAGUAUUAAAAGUAAUCUUCACCAGUGGUCAAGCAGUAGCUGAUUUUGAAGUUAUAGAAAUACAGUCCUUUAUAGACAAGGUGUCUUUUUGCUCAAGGUAUUAAACAAGGUCAUUUCUUCCAUUUUAAUAGCUGCAACUACUAGAAGAAAAUGGAGGAAGGAUAUCAAGAGAUUUUAGAAUUAUUUAUGCAAUCCUUUAUGUUUUUGCUUUAAUUACAAAGAAUGUCACCUGUGUUAUAUUAAAAAAUAUUUAAACAAACAGAACUGAAAAAUGCAAGGAUGAGGGGAAUUCACCAAACACGCCCAUGCUUGGCUGCACCUUCAUAUCUCUCUCAGGGAUAACUGACAUUCUCUCACUGAAUUCACAGCUGUGAAUUUCUUAAAACUCUAACUGUUUCAUUGUUAAAGAAGUCACACAGCUUAGUGUUGUCAAACUACACUCAUCCUCCUAACCCACUCCAGAUGCGCUUCCGAGAAAAACCACUGUCAACUGAAAAAUAAAUAAAUAAAACUGUCUAACAGUUGAUAAUUAUGCUUUAUUCAGCAGACUUUCAACCUCAGGAGGUGCCAGACAUCAUUCUUCAUCAACACCAGUCUGGAUGCUGAAGGAAAGCUAGUCAUUGCGCUAAGAACCUCUCAACCUAGGUUAAAAAUCAAUGUUUAAGUAACAGAAAGGGGGAGACUUUUUCUUUCAAUAUCCUCCGAGGAAACAUAAUGAUAUGUGACUUUGUUACCACCGCAUUGCAAUAAAAAUCAAAUCAGUGUCCAGCGUUGCCUAGCAGUAAAGAAAUUUCAAGCAAUAAUCCUUUGCCAAAAAAAUUACUUUUCCUUCUCUUGUGUCUUCCUCAGUUUGUGUUAAUUACAUCUGUCUUGAUUGUCUGGUUGGCUUCAGCUUGAAUUCCAGAAUAAAUCUCUUUAUGUCCAGUGUAUUUUCAGUUUUUCUACCAAUUUUCUGCCAACCACCAUCUCUUCAUAACGCUGGUUCAGAAUUCUGUUAAAAUAUAUUGUAGGUGAGUUACUUAGCUCUUUGUUCACAUCAUUUCUACUCUUGAAACUAGUCUCUCUAAAAUUGACUUCCUCUGCCAAGUGUACAAUUAACCUCUCUAUCCAAAACUUUGUUCACUUUCUUGCUUCGUCCAGUUCCCCUCCAGACUGAGGACUGUGGAAGAAAAUGGGGAGUUGAAACUGAGCAGGACGCUGCAGGCCUUCUGGUUCAAGCCCUCCAUGUUCCAGCUUCAUAUUUGGCCUUCCCUGAGUUCCAAAGAGCUGACACAAGCAGUUAAUAAUUAGAACAAUAGACUCACAGGACUUCUAGUUCCUUCUGAAGGAAUAACAGGUAAUAAUUGAAUGCAUGUCUUUGAGUUCUGCAGAAACUAAGACCCCCAUCCCCUACCCAGUGGGGGACUUCAUGCUGAUGCAAGCACUAGACCUCAGACUGGUUAUAAACAGAAGGUUGACAAUUAAGAUUCCAAAACAUCAUGCUUUUACCUCAUUACAAAUCAAUCAGAAGAAAAUCUGCACAUAAUGGAAGAUAACAAAAACUCUCACCCUCCCCUCCCCC